UUCACUAUUGCUCUGUGGUUGAAGGAUAUGUUGACUUCUAAGCCCUGGAUUGACCCAAAGGUGAUGUGUAUUCUGAGAGGUCACAAUGGAGGGGUCACAUGCCUUGCUUUCAGUCCUGAUGGGAAAGAGUUGCUGUCAGGAGGAAAAGAUCAGGCUUUGAUGAUAUGGAAGGUAAAUGCUUCUCCUCCAGUUCUUUCCCAGUCCAUUUCCAAUUGCCAUGGAGACUGGAUUACAGGAUGUGCUUGGACAUCAUCUGCUGUGCUCAGCUGCUCCAGUGACUGUAAGCUGCGGAUGUGGGAUAUCCAGACAGGACGUUUGUU